rnacentral:rRNA from 1 species
AUUGAACGCUGGCGGCAUGCCUUACACAUGCAAGUCGAACGGUAACGGGCCUUCGGGUGCCGACGAGUGGCGAACGGGUGAGUAAUGUAUCGGAACGUACCUUUCAGUGGGGGAUAACGUAGCGACAGUUACGCUAAUACCGCAUAUUCUGUGAGCAGGAAAGCAGGGGAUCGCAAGACCUUGCGCUGAUUGAGCGGCCGAUAUCAGAUUAGCUAGUUGGUGAGGUAAAGGCUCACCAAGGCGACGAUCUGUAGCGGGUCUGAGAGGAUGAUCCGCCACAAUGGAACUGAGACACGGUCCAGACGCCUACGGGAGGCAGCAGUGGGGAAUUUGGGACAAUGGGGGCAACCCUGAUCCAGCCAUGCCGCGUGAGUGAAGAAGGCCUUCGGGUGGUAAAGCUCUUUCGGCCGGGAAGAAAUCGUAUGGGUUAAUACCCUGUGCGGAUGACGGUACCGGCAUAAGAAGCACCGGCUAACUACGUGCCAGCAGCCGCCGUAACAC